rnacentral:tRNA from 1 species
AACGGUAUAGUUUAAGUUAAAGAUACAUGCUCUGCAAGCAUGUGGUGGAGGUUUCCUGCUGUUG